rnacentral:rRNA from 1 species
CAGGACGAACGCUGGCGGCACGCCUAACACAUGCAAGUCGAACGAAGUAAGAAGCUUGCUUCUGCUUAGUGGCGGACGGGUGAGUAACACGUGAGCAACCUGCCUUAAAGAGGGGACAACAGUUGGAACGACUGCUAAUACCGCAUAAUGUGCGCUGGAAGCAUUUCCUAUGCACCAAAGGAGCAAUCCGCUUUAAGAUGGGCUCGCGCCUGAUUAGAUAGUUGGUGAGGUAACGGCCCACCAAGUCUGCGAUCAGUAGCCGGACUGAGAGGUUGAACGGCCACAUUGGGACUGAGACACGGCCCAGACUCCUACGGGAGGCAGCAGGUGGGGGAUAUUGGUCAAUGGGGGGAAAAACCCCUGAACCAGCGAUGCCGCGUGAGGGAAGAAGGUUUUCGGAUUGUAAACCUCUGUCAUCGGGGAAGAUAAUGACGGUACCCGAAGAAGGAAGCCACGGCUAACUACGUGCCAGCAGCUGC